AGGUUUUUAAAUUUUUUGUAUCAAUCUUUGUAAGAUUUGCUGAUUGUUUCUACUUUGAUUGAUAGUUGAUAUAAAUUGGUUUGGUUAUUGAUUUUAGAGUUUCAUAAUUGUUCUUGAUCUAGUUUGAAUCCGACUUUUCUAUACUCUAAACUUAAAUUAGUUUGCUUGUUGUUAGGUUUCUGAACCAUCUUAUGAAUGUUAUUUCCCUCUCUGUCACUUUAGGUUUUUCUUCCUUUUUGUAUUACUAAACUAUUUUUGACAUCUUUAUUUGCCUAUUCAAGUUUUUGGUUUUGAUUAGAAAUUUCUUAGUUAUUAUUUAUUAUUUAUUAAUAAGAAGUGCUACUGAAAUUAGUUCUUAAACAAUAUUAUACUUUAUACUGAUACUAAUUGAUGCUAUGAAGGUUCUAAGAGUGUUUAUAUUUAUAUACUUGUUAGUGGUUUAUUGUAAUGUUUUUUCAACUUAUAGAGUUAUCAUCUGGGUAUAGAAGAUUAUCUAUAGGACCUGAAGUAGCUUCUAUUUUGUCUUUUCGCGUUCUUACCUUGUAGAUGGUUUUGUCAAUAUUUGAAACUAUAACCAAAGCGUUGAAACUCUUAUUUAUCUAUACUUUUCCAUGAUAAUUUAUAAUUAUAUAUUUAACUUUAGUUUGCAGUCCCCGUGCAUCAGCAAAAUGCCACCAUUCAAUAAUAAUCAAAGAUGAAUACUGUUAGCUGCUAGUGAUACACUAAGAGCCAUUGUCGCUCCUAAAACCUCUCCUGGAAUCAAAGCAAACUAAGCUAUGGACAAUGUAAUUUUGCUGUGUGUAUGUAUAUUAUUUAAUCAGAGAAACACCCAUUUGUACUUGCUUUAUGUUCUGUUUGUGUUUUUCAUUAAGGACAAGUUGUUUCUUAUGACUAAGUUGUGGGAAUGAUUGAUGUAGCACUAAAGAAGCCUUCAUGUUGACAGACUUCAUUCUUAAUGAAUUUCCAAGAACAAAUGUCUAGGCAGAACAGUACUUGCCCCUUUGACAUCAAAGAUUUUUUGAGGAAGCGAUUAUUGGCCUUUGGAUCCAUCCUCUUAGUUGGCUUGAUGUCACAAUAUUACAUUGGUUUGCCAUUGCAAACAACAGAAAGGCAGUUGGGAAUGUGGGUAUAUGGUAAUCAAACAUAUGAAAGAGUGUAUCGACUCUAUACAACAUGAUUUGGUUAACCGACUUUGGAAUGAAGGAGGGUAUUUUGAAGAGUCUCAAAUUAAGAAUUUAGUGGUAGAUUUAAUGUCAGGAUUUAUUAAAAAGAUGUUUUGAUCUUGUAAGCAUUAGUUUGUGUUUCAUACUUUUGUAAUUCCGUAUACUUGAACGGGUUGGGUUGUUUAAUACUAGUUAACUUUUGGCGUGAGCAUGUG